CCUACGGGGGGCAGCAGUGGGGAAUAUUGCACAAUGGGGGGAACCCUGAUGCAGCGACGCCGCGUGGGUGAAGGAGUAUUUCGGUAUGUAAAGCCCUAUCAGCAGGGAAGAACAAUGACGGUACCUGACUAAGAAGCACCGGCUAAAUACGUGCCAGCAGCCGCGGUAAUACGUAUGGUGCAAGCGUUAUCCGGAUUUACUGGGUGUAAAGGGAGCGCAGGCGGCGCGUUAAGCCUGGUGUGAAAGCCCGCGGCUCAACCCCGGGAGUGCAUUUGAAACUGUCCAGCUGGAGUGCAGGAGAGGUAAGCGGAAUUCCUAGUGUAGCGGUGAAAUGCAUAGAUAUUAGGAGGAACACCAGUGGCGAAGGCGGCUUACUGGACUGUAACUGACACUGAGGCUCGAAAGCGUGGGGAGCAAACAGGAUUAAAUACCCUAGUAGUC
rnacentral:rRNA from 1 species